GGGCGAUUAGCUCAGCUGGCUAGAGCGCAUCCCUUACAAGGAUGAAGUCGGCGGUUCGAAUCCGUCAUCGCCCACCA
rnacentral:tRNA from 1 species